rnacentral:rRNA from 1 species
UACGUAGGGGGCUAGCGUUGUCCGGAUUUAUUGGGCGUAAAGAGCGUGUAGGCGGCCAGGUAGGUCUGCUGUGAAAACUCGAGGCUUAACCUCGAGAUGUCGGCUGAAACCAUCUGGCUAGAGUCCGGAAGAGGAGAGUGGAAUUCCUGGUGUAGCGGUGAAAUGCGCAGAUAUCAGGAAGAACACCCGUGGCGAAGGCGGCUCUCUGGGACGGUACUGACGCUGAGACGCGAAAGCGUGGGGAGCGAACAGG